rnacentral:pre_miRNA from 1 species
UGUUAAAAAUUUCAUUCAUUUUCAGUAUUAAAAAUUGAUGUGGCUGACGAAAUAACCAUACAGUUACACAUGUUAUGCUACGUAUAACUCAUGCUGAUGUAUAUGGACCAACUUUAAAAAAAAAAAAUGAGUGAAUUUUGAACA